CUCGCAUAUUUAGAAAAAAAUCAGAAAGAUAAAACAUAUUUAGAAGUUUAACCAUGCGGGAAAAACUUAGAAGUGUUGUUGUUAACAAAUUUUACGAAAAAACGGUGAAGGUUAUCGGAAUCCGCUAUUUUGCUCCUCACUUAGGAGGAACUCUGCUCCUCAGUGCUCCUUAGGCUUUUGAAUAAUUUAUUUGCGAAAUAAUUUUGACGGUGGCGGGACUGUGCGGAGUUUGGCGGAGAUGACAUACAAACUCUGUGUGUACGAGGGUAACAGCACUUCUAUGUGUAUCUUUCUUACGCAGAUGAUUAGUAACUUAGCUGUGAGUACGGCUACUAAGAUGUUCGUUUGGACAAAAUAAAUCUAUGAACAGCAAAGAAUGCUGUUGCACUCGUACAAACAGCAUUUGCAUGCUAUCUCCGCCGAACUCCGCCGAACUCCGCACAGUCCCGGGUUCUGAGAAACAUUCUCUGCAAAUUGUUCAUUUUACGGUAUGAAUAAUCAAUGCUCGCCAAUAAUUGGUAAUAAUUCAAAUCAUGCGAGUUCUUCCAAUCAAACUUAAACGUCAAAUGUUGAUGUCAGGUAACUUACUUUAUCAGCUAUUACAACCACAUCGACAAUAAGACAAGAUGAUUUUUGGCACAUCUGGCCCGGUAUCAAAAAAGGCAAGCGUCUUGCUGAAACUGCAUUCGAUUGAAGAAGAAAUAAAUAUUUUAUAACAUAUCAGAGUCUCCAGAGUACUUUUCAACUCAGAACAUUUAGAAUUAAAAAUACUUGUCGAAAAGGAAAAAAAAUGUUGUUCAAAAGUAUUGAAAAAAAUAACAUGGACUGAGUUCAUUCACAAACUAUCAGGGAUUGUUCCCCUGAGGAGGUGGAAUUGUGAGGUGGAAAAGGAAGAGGAGGAGAUUACUAAGGAGGACAACCCAGAGCUCUCCUCCUCCUUUUCGUCUUCACUAUUCCACCUCCUCAGAGAAACAAUCCAUGAUUUUACCAAAAAACUGUGAUGGUUAUCGGAAUAUACUAUUCUUCCGAAGACAACAUCGAAAAAAAUGAAAUUAAUAAAUCAAGAGUAUCAUUGCCGAAUUUUAGUAAAUUUUUUUAAUAAAAUAAGCAAUGUCAUCGACGACUCAUCGUCAUAUGGCGCCUUCAAUCAAUCUCAACUCAAUUCAACCAGAAUACGAAGUGAUCCAAUACUAGUGCCAAAAUUGAUGCGAACGAUAAAACAUCCGCUAUUCCAACAACAGCAGUAGCACAAGAUCUUCCAAAUUGCUUAUCUUACAGUAUGAAUAAUUAAUGCCAAUCGAUGGGCAUAAUUCAACUCAUUUGAUAUCUUCCAAUCAAAAUCAAACGACAAGUGUUGGUGCACCAUAUUAUUCGGGUCAGUAUCAUCAUUGGCAUUUUCAGAGUGAUUUCUUGCUGUUUCUGCGGGUUGCGGCUCUUCGUCACUGUCUGAAAUGGCUAAAUCAUCGUGAAUACCAACAUCGUCCAUGGGCUGCAGUCUAUCGCUUUGAGUCGUGCUUUGCUGUGGCGAUGUCAUUUCCUGCGAAUAAGUCUCUUGGGAUGAAAAAUCAAUUCCCUGUGAUUGAACUGUCAUCUCCGAUGAUUCGGACUGUUCCACUUUUGUUGUAUGCUUUUCGUACAGCAACAUUUCCGACAUACUAAACGAUUCAUUUUCUUGUUCAUAGACUUGUGAUUGUGAUUGUGGCUCUUGCUUGAUGUUCGUAUAGUCAAUUUUAACGGAAGUAUCUUUUUUGCUUGACAUCUGUAGAAAGUCGGAUGGAUCAUAAUUAUCCAGAUCCAUUGAUUCGUCUAUUUUUAUGAAAAAAAAAAUUAAUUUCAUUCAUCUUUUUUAAAUAGGAAUUGGGUUACCUUGUUGAUUGUAAUAACCAACUCCACUUAAUUGUACCAUUGCUUCGGCUGCUUGUUUACUGUCUUCUGCAUUAUGAUCAACGAAAAAAGGUUUUAUGUUAAUGGAAAAUGGUCUUAAUAAAAUCAAAAUCGAAUCAGAAUAGUACCUGGAGCAUAGUUGACAGGCUGUGAGCUUCUGGCCAAUGCUUCGCCCUGGCCCAAAGUGGCAGCAACGAUUUCAUUUUCACCAAUCACUUCUUCGAAUUCACCAUCGUCCGACGAAAAUUGUAAAUCUAACAAAAAAAAUAUUCAUAAUAUAUAAGUCACAAUACGAA